rnacentral:rRNA from 1 species
UACGGGGGGGGCAAGCGUUGCUCGGAAUUACUGGGCGUAAAGGGUUCGUAGGUGGCCAACUAAGCCAGACGUGAAAUCCCUCAGCUUAACUGGGGAACUGCGUCUGGGACUGGAUGGCUUGAGUGCAGGAGAGGAACGCGGAAUUCCAGGUGUAGCGGUGAAAUGCGUAGAUAUCUGGAGGAACACCGGUGGCGAAGGCGGCAUCCUGGACCGGCAUUGACGCUGAGGAGCGAAAGCCAGGGGAGCAAACAGG